GUUGUCAUUACGCAUGUGCAUUCUACUACUAUCUACUUGAACUACGACAUCCCCUGUGUUCAUCAGCUACAAAGAAGGAUAUCACACCCAACAUUCCCAAAAGAAAGAAUAUUUAAAGGAGGGAUGCGAUCCACACAGAUUUAUACCGUCAAAAACAUCAAAGAACUUGGUCCACAGUUUGAUGAGGUUUGAGCUACACACUAUGGCAACUGAUGAAACAGGGGAAAUUAACAUCAUUUUGGCGGACCGAGAAGUUAGAAGAAUGAUUGGCAAAAAUGCAUUACAUCUUUUUGAAGAGGGAAACAAGGAGGAGAUCUACCCAAUUAUUUUCAACAACUUAACAAACAAAUUCUACAGCAUCAAACUCCUGAUCAAAGAAGCCAACACUAAGCAUAAAGUGGAUGCUUAUCUAGCAACAGAUAUUAUGGAAGGAAGCUACAGUGAGAUAAAACAGGAAACAGAACAUAGCUACCCUCAACCUAUUCAGUCUGCAGAGACACAUGUAGUGAAAAUAAUAUGUGUAGCUAUUUCUUACUAAGUACUAUAAUAAUCAAGUUAAUGUGUUUAUAAUGUUUAAAUGGGAUUUACAGCACUCGCAGUCAAGCUAUCAUUUGGACUCCGCCAACUAGAUUGGAUUCUACAACCUAUAGCCUUUCAAGUUUUCUACUCUAUUUCUGCCUUUUUGAGCCAACCAUUGGGACUCCACAGCCUAUAUCAUCUGGAACUAUCUACGUUUUUAUUAAGAUGUUGGUUUGAUUAUGUUUCCACGCAAGUUCUACCUCUAAUAUAUGACUAAGACCACCUCAAUCCAUACUGUCAGUCCAUUUAAUUCUAUUAGU